UGAAAUCUGGCCCCCGGGUCCGAGUUGUAAUUUGUAGAGGAUGCUUUUGGUGCGGUACCUUCCGAGUUCCCUGGAACGGGACGCCAUAGAGGGUGAGAGCCCCGUCUGGUUGGACGCCAAUCCUUUGUAAAGCUCCUUCAACGAGUCGAGUAGUUUGGGAAUGCUGCUCUAAAUGGGAGGUAUAUGUCUUCUAAAGCUAAAUAUUGGCCAGAGACCGAUAGCGCACAAGUAGAGUGAUCGAAAGAUGAAAAGCACUUUGAAAAGAGAGUUAAAAAGUACGUGAAAUUGUUGAAAGGGAAGCGCUCAUGACCAGACUUGGGCUUGGUUGAUCAUCCAGGGUUCUCCCUGGUGCACUCUUCCGGCCCAGGCCAGCAUCAGUUCGCUGUGGGGGAUAAAGGCUUCGGGAAUGUGGCUCCCUCGGGAGUGUUAUAGCCCGUUGUGUAAUACCCUGUGGUGGACUGAGGUUCGCGCAUUCGCAAGGAU
rnacentral:rRNA from 1 species